GACGAACGCUGGCGGCAGGCCUAACACAUGCAAGUCGAGCGCACCCUUCGGGGUGAGCGGCGGACGGGUGAGUAACGCGUGGGAACGUACCCUUUGCUACGGAAUAGCCACUGGAAACGGUGAGUAAUACCGUAUGAGCCCUUCGGGGGAAAGAUUUAUCGGCAAGGGAUCGGCCCGCGUUGGAUUAGGUAGUUGGUGGGGUAAUGGCCUACCAAGCCGACGAUCCAUAGCUGGUUUUAGAGGAUGAUCAGCCACACUGGGACUGAGACACGGCCCAGACUCCUACGGGAGGCAGCAGUGGGGAAUCUUAGACAAUGGGCGCAAGCCUGAUCUAGCCAUGCCGCGUGAGUGACGAAGGCCCUAGGGUCGUAAAGCUCUUUCGCCUGUGAUGAUAAUGACAGUAGCAGGUAAAGAAACCCCGGCUAACUCCGUGCCAGCAGCCGCGGUAAUACGGAGGGGGUUAGCGUUGUUCGGAAUUACUGGGCGUAAAGCGCGCGUAGGCGGAUUGGAAAGUUGGGGGUGAAAUCCCGGGGCUCACCCCCGGAACUGCCUCCAAAACCUUCCAGUCUGGAGUUCGAGAGGGGUGAGUUGGAAAUUCCCAGUGUACCGGU
rnacentral:rRNA from 1 species